CAGUAGCCGCGGUAAUACGAAGGGGGCUAGCGUUGUUCGGAUUUACUGGGCGUAAAGCGCACGUAGGCGGAUCGAUCAGUCAGGGGUGAAAUCCCAGAGCUCAACUCUGGAACUGCCUUUGAUACUGUCGAUCUGGAGUAUGGAAGAGGUGUGUGGAAUUCCGAGUGUAGAGGUGAAAUUCGUAGAUAUUCGGAGGAACACCAGUGGCGAAGGCGGCUCACUGGUCCAUUACUGACGCUGAGGUGCGAAAGCGUGGGGAGCAAACAGGAUUAGAUACCCGGGUAGUCCCUGUCUCUUAUAC
rnacentral:rRNA from 1 species